rnacentral:tRNA from 1 species
GAAUCGGCGGCUACUGUCAGCAUGUAGCAACCGUCUUUUAAACGGUCUCCGCAAGGAACGCGGGUGCAACUCCCGCCCGAUUCUCCA